AACCCCUUCACCAAUCUUUCACGGACUGAUUUAAUUGGGUAGUUAGUUCUGGUCUCAAUAUCUUUAACUCUCAAGAGCUCUUUCCUGUUACCUCAUUGUUCUUAGAAGAAGAAGAAGAAGAAGAAGAAGAAGAAGAAGAAGAGGAGCAGCCCAUUCUUCCUUCUUGCAUGCAUAUCUUCUCUUAUCACAGAUUUUUAUAAGGAUUUUUUUUCUCUUGUUUUCUUCUAUUCCCCAUGUUGCUUUCUUCUCCUCAGAAUUUGGUUUCCCUGAUAGCUCAGGCACUGCCUUCAUGAUUUCUCCAAAUAUCUGGUGAUCCUUGGUGACCCUUGAGAAUGAGACACAAACACCCGACUGGGAAUUCCAUGCACUAAGGCUCAUGAGCCAUUGAAAUCCACUGGUCUGUAGGAGAGGGCCCUGAUAGGUGUUAGAGGAUUCCCAAAUGUCAGCAUCAAUGGGUCUUUUCUCUGGAAGUGGUCUUCUCCAGAGAACACCCUCCCUCACACCACCCACCUAGAGGACCCUUGCUGGGCUGGUGCAGUGAAGGGGCAGAGAGGGGUAACAGUGGAGGAACUCAGAAGGUACUUUUAAGUGGUAUCUUUUUACCUAGUGCUUCUCCUUUCCUUUACCCUCACCUGAGUCUCCUGUUCCUCCCUCUAGAUCUUUCCUCACUGCAUUUCUCCAGGAUGUAAACCUUCCUCCCAGGUUGGGGUAUAUGCCAUCAUUUGGUUGCACAGAAUGGAGAAGAAAAUCAGGGGGUCCAGGUGCUCCUGAACAGACUUCCACCCAGUCUUCGUUCUUACAGCUGCAGUCCUGAGACAUGCCGCUGAAGACUCUGAUAUUCCCAGCUCCUGAAGACUUCCAGGCAUUACUUCGGUGUUUAUUAAGCACCUAUUAUAUGACGGAUCUUGUGCCAAGCCCUCAGGAUGCAAGAGAUAAAGAUUUGAGGAAUGCAUUGUGUGACAUGGGUGACAAAGAAAUUAGAGUAAUCCGUGAGCUGAGUGGUUUGUACAGCCAGCUGGGAGAGAGCAGAUUAAUCCCGUCUUCCUAGACGCUCAGGAUGGCACCUGACCCAGGCCUUGAAAAUGUGCACAGGAUUUUGCCAAGGCAGAGAAGCCAGGUGAGGACAUUUCAAGCAGAGGGACUUCGAACCAAGGCUCGGAAGCUGGAAGUCUAUAAUCUGUCAGUGGCAGGAGCUAGGGCAAGAGGAACUGGGACCAGAUCAAGGGGCCCACAGGAAUGACAUGAAGGGGUUGACUUUGGCGGGAGCACAGAGAAGCCCCUUAUAAGCAGUAUGUGUGUGUGUGGGGGGGUGUGACAUGGUUAGACUUGCACUUCAGAAUAGCUGCCUACCAUAUAAAGAAUGGGCUGGCCUGGGGCCGGAGGUGGAGAGCAGGAUAAGAAUAGAGGCAACAGUGUCAGUCAAGAGGGAUGGGAAUAAUUCAGAAGACAGAUAAGGCUCAAAUUAGGGAACCAGCAGUGGGGAAAAAGAGGUUUCAAUUUGGUAGAAAUUUAGUUUCUUGAAAUAAAGAAGGAGGAGUUGACUUGGUUUCUUGCUCA
ensembl:lncRNA